UUAGACCACUAGGUGGCGCUUUAUAAUUAGCAAAUGCUAGCGCUCUAGUGCCCGCACGGAGAUCAAUCUCACAAAGCAGUGGCCAGUGAGAACAGCCAGUGGCAGUCUGAAGACAUAGGUUUAAAAUGAGAAAGAAGGAAAGAAAUGAAGAGCUAAAGACAAAAAGAGAAAAGAAGUAGGAUGUGCUCUUCCCUCAGCCAGUAUGGAUGGACUGCAAUUAAAGGGGACCAAUAAAGUGAAACUAAGAAUGAAACAUAAUGUCCUCUUAGCAGUGUGGAAGCCUAUGCAAAGGGAGGAUUAUCAAAUGCAUUUGAACACUCCAAUCAGCUGUGGUAAAACCUAUUUUUAAAAAAGGCAAGAAUAAAUAAAUGCACAAUUCAGAGUAGUGAUGAUCAUUGGGAAGGAGGAAGGAAGAUGGGAUUCAGGAGGGCUCCAUGCAUAAUUUCAUUGGGAUUGGGAAUGUUCUAAUCAAUAAAUUGGAUGAUGGAUUCAUAGAUAGGUGUUUUAUCAUUAUGCUUCAUGGCCUAUGUAGGAUAUAUAUUAUUUUAUUCUGUGAAAUGUUGCAUAAUUUUAAGUAGUCAAGAUAUUUCAGUAAACGUUUUCCAAUCUUAAUUUAUUAAAAGCUUUUCCUUAGGAUACAUGGUGAGAGAAAAACUGAACUCAUUCAGUUAGCCAAACUAUUUCUCCACUAUCUGUUCAUCUAUCCAUCUCUUUUUUACUUUAGUUUUUGAAACAUAAUAAAAAUAAUGUAGAAGUCCUUUCACAUGACCUGAAUGUCCU